AUGUUAAGUGGAAAAGGAUGUGGCGUUGCCCAGACAACUCGGAUGUUGGGUUAGAAGUAGCUAUCAGUAUAAGAGCGCGUAAUAGCACAGUAGUCGAGAGUCACUGCUCCGAAAAUGUACCUGGGCUAAACAGAUUACCUAAGCUGUGGAUUGUCCUUUGGUCAAUGGUAGGAGAGCGUUCUAAGGGCGUUGAAGCAUGAUCGUAAGGACAUGUGGAGCGCUUAGAAGUGAGAAUGCCGGUGUGAGUAGCGAAAGACGGGUGAGAAUCCCGUCCACCGAUUGACUAAGGUUUCCAGAGGAAGGCUCGUCCGCUCUGGGUUAGUCGGGUCCUAAGCUGAGGCCGACAGGCGUAGGCGAUGGAUAACAGGUUGAUAUUCCUGUACCACCUAUAAUCGUUUUAAUCGAUGGGGGGACGCAGUAGGAUAGGCGAAGCGUGCGAUUGGAUUGCACGUCUAAGCAGUAAGGCUGAGUAUUAGGCAAAUCCGGUACUCGUUAAGGCUGAGCUGUGAUGGGGAGAAGACAUUGAGUCUUCGAGUCGUUGAUUUCACACUGCCGAGAAAAGCCUCUAGAUAGAAAAUAGGUGCCCGUACCGCAAACCGACACAGGUAGUCAAGAUGAGAAUUCUAAGGUGAGCGAGCGAACUCUCGUUAAGGAACUCGGCAAAAUGACCCCGUAACUUCGGGAGAAGGGGUGCUCUUUAGGGUUAACGCCCAGAAGAGCCGCAGUGAAUAGGCCCAAGCGACUGUUUAUCAAAAACACAGGUCUCUGCUAAACCGUAAGGUGAUGUAUAGGGGCUGACGCCUGCCCGGUGCUGGAAGGUUAAGAGGAGUGGUUAGCUUCUGCGAAGCUACGAAUCGAAGCCCCAGUAAACGGCGGCCGUAACUAUAACGGUCCUAAGGUAGCGAAAUUCCUUGUCGGGUAAGUUCCGACCCGCACGAAAGGCGUAACGAUUUGGGCACUGUCUCAACGAGAGACUCGGUGAAAUCAUAGUACCUGUGAAGAUGCAGGUUACCCGCGACAGGACGGAAAGACCCCGUGGAGCUUUACUGUAGCCUGAUAUUGAAAUUCGGCACAGCUUGUACAGGAUAGGUAGGAGCCUUUGAAACGUGAGCGCUAGCUUACGUGGAGGCGCUGGUGGGAUACUACCCUAGCUGUGUUGGCUUUCUAACCCGCACCACUUAUCGUGGUGGGAGACAGUGUCAGGCGGGCAGUUUGACUGGGGCGGUCGCCUCCUAAAAGGUAACGGAGGCGCUCAAAGGUUCCCUCAGAAUGGUUGGAAAUCAUUCAUAGAGUGUAAAGGCAUAAGGGAGCUUGACUGCGAGACCUACAAGUCGAGCAGGGUCGAAAGACGGACUUAGUGAUCCGGUGGUUCCGCAUGGAAGGGCCAUCGCUCAACGGAUAAAAGCUACCCCGGGGAUAACAGGCUUAUCUCCCCCAAGAGUUCACAUCGACGGGGAGGUUUGGCACCUCGAUGUCGGCUCAUCGCAUCCUGGGGCUGUAGUCGGUCCCAAGGGUUGGGCUGUUCGCCCAUUAAAGCGGUACGCGAGCUGGGUUCAGAACGUCGUGAGACAGUUCGGUCCCUAUCCGUCGUGGGCGUAGGAAAUUUGAGAGGAGCUGUCCUUAGUACGAGAGGACCGGGAUGGACAUACCUCUGGUGUACCAGUUGUCGUGCCAACGGCAUAGCUGGGUAGCUAUGUGUGGACGGGAUAAGUGCUGAAAGCAUCUAAGCAUGAAGCCCCCCUCAAGAUGAGAUUUCCCAACUUCGGUUAUAAGAUCCCUCAAAGAUGAUGAGGUUAAUAGGUUCGAGGUGGAAGCAUGGUGACAUGUGGAGCUGACGAAUACUAAUCGAUCGAAGACUUAAUCAAAA
rnacentral:rRNA from 1 species